AUGGCAACCGCGGCCGGGGGGGGGGGUGGGGAGGGGUUUGAGGGGUGGGGGAGGGGCGGCGCUGUUGGGGGGGCCCCUCCCCCCUCCCCCCUCCCCCUCCCCUCCCCCACUGCCCCUCCCCCCCUUUUAUUCCCCAUCAUUUAUUUCACUUUAUUCCCAUUUUCCCCCCAUUUAUUUGUAAUAUUUUCCCCUCCCCCCCCCCCCCCCCCCCGGUAUCGAUCCCUCCCCUCCCCCACCCCUCCCCCUCCCCUUCCCCACCCCUCCCCCCCUCCCCUCCCCUCCCCCCCCCUCAUGGAGGAGUCUCCGCGCGCCGCCGAUGGAGGCGGAGGUCCCGGCCCGGAGCCGAGGCAGCGUCCGAGGGCGGCCGGAGAGGUACCGGGGACACACCUGGGGACAUUUGGGGACAUCUGGGGACACUUUGGGGACAUUUGGGGACAUUUGGGGUCACCUGGGGGUGUUUGGGGACACCUGGGGACGUUUGGGGACAUCCCUGGGACACCUGGGGACACUCUGGGGAUAUUUGGGGAGACUUUGGGGAUAUUUGGGGACAUCUAGGCACACCUUGGGGACAUUUUGGGGACACUUUAGGGAUGUUUUGGGUCAUCCCUGGGACAUCUGGGGACACUUUAAGGACACCUGGGGACACUUUGCUGACAUUUUGGGGACAUUUGGGGACACCUGGGGACAUUUGGGGACACCUGGGGACAUUUGGGGACACUUUAGGGACACUUCGGGGGACACCUGGGGACAUUUUGGGGACACCUGGGGACAUUUGGGGACACUUUAGGGACACUUUGGGGACAGUUGGGGACACCUGGGGACACCUUGGGACAUUUUGGGGACACUUUGGGGAUGUUUGGGGACACUUUGGGGACAGUUGGGGACAUUUGGGGACAUCCCUGGGACAUUUGGAGACACUUUGGGGACACCUGGGGACACUUUGGGGACACUUUGGGGACAUUUGGGGACACUUUAAGGACACCUGGGGACAUUUGGGGACGUUUGGGACACCUCUGAGGACACCUGGGCACACCUGGGGACACUUUGGGGUGUUUGGGGAGACUUUGAGGAUAUUUGGGGACAUCCCUGGGACAUUUGGGGACACUUUGGGGACAUUUUGGGGACACUUUGGGGAUGUUUGAGAGUUUUUGGGGAGUUUUUGGGGAGUUUUUGGGCUGUUUUGGCAGUUUUGGGGGAGUUUUGGCAGUUUUUGGGGUAUUUUUGGCAGUUUUUGGGGUAUUUUUGGCAGUUUUUGGGCUGUUUUUGGCAGUUUUUGGGGAGUUUUUGGCAGUUUUUGGGGUAUUUUUGGCAGUUUUUGGGGUGCUGCUCCAUGUGACCGCGUCCCCCCCGCGGUUCCGUCACCGCCGCCGCUUCCUCCGGAGCUUCCUGGAGCGGCCGGGCCGGCCCCGAGCCCCAAAAUCCCCCAAAUCCCCCCCAAAUUCCCUUCAAAUCCCCCCCAAAAUCCCCCCCAAAAUCCCCCCAAAAUCCCCCCCAAAAUCCCCUUAAAAUCCCCCCCAAAUCCCCCCAAAAUCCCCCCCAAAUUCCCUUAAAAUCUCCUCCAAAACCCCCCCAAAAUCCCCCCCAAAUCCCUCAAAAUCCCCCCCCAAAAUCCCCCCCCAAAUCCUUUAAGAAUCCCCCCAAUUUCCCCCCAAAAUCCUCCCCAAAAUUCCCCCUCAACUGCCCCAAAAUCCCCCGAAUUUCCCCCAAAUCCCCCAAAACCCCCCGGACCCACCAUGGUGAACCCCAACCUGCGGCCCUCAGGUAGAGGGGGGGUCUGGGGGGAUUUUGGGGGGAUUUUGGGUGGAUUUUGGUGUAUUUUGGGUGGAUUUGGCUGAACUUUGGUGGAUUUUGAGGAAUUUUUGGGAAUCCUGGAGAAUUUGGGGUGGAUUUCGCUGAAUUUGGGGUGGAUUUUGCUGAAUCUUGGAGGAUUUUAGGGGGAUUUGGUGGAUUUUGUGUGGAUUUUGCUGAAUUUUGGGUGGAUUUUGGAGAAUUUUGGGGGAAUUUGGUGGAUUUUGGAGAAUUUGGGGGGAUCUUGGUGGAUUUUGGGUGGAUUUUGGGGGAAUUUGGUGGAUUUUGGACGGAUUUUGUUGGAUUUUGGGUGGAUUUCGCUGAACUUGGGUGGAUUUUGGGGAAUUUUGGUGGAUUUUGGGGAAUUUUGGGGGUCUCUAGGGGGAUUUGGGGAUUUUGGGGGGGUCCCGCCCCCCCCACAGGCCGAAUUUGGGGCAUUUUGGGUCAUUGGCUCCUUUUGAGCCGCGAAUUUUCUUUUUUUUUGGGGCAAAAAAACCCAAAAUUGGCGAAAGCAGAAGUGAAAGUGGGGGGGGGAGGGGAGGGGGUUCCCCCCCCAAAUUCUCCCCUCCCCCCCCCGGGGUGACUCAGCCUCAUGCAAAUGAGGGGGGGGAGGGGAGGGGAGGGGAGGGGGCGACACCCCCGGGGCUCCCCUCCCCCACCCGCGCCGGGGCCGCCUGGAGCCGCUCGGAGCCCCAAAAUCCCCCAAAUCCCCCCAAAAAUCCUCCCGCAGGGGCGAGACCCCCCCCGCCAGGUAAUGGGGGAAAUUCGGGAGAAUUUGGGGAAUUUCGGGGGAAAUCUGGGGAAUUUGGGAUUUUGGGGGGGCUCGUGGGGCGGUUUGGGGCGAUUUGUGUCAGUUUUGGGGCGAUUUGAGUGAAUUUUGGGGCGAUUUGGGAUUUUGGGGGGGCUCGUGGGGCGGUUUUGGGGCGAUUUGUGUCAGUUUUGGGGCGGUUUCGGGUGAAUCGAAGGUGAUUUUGGGGUGAGUUUGGGGGAAUUUGGGCUUUUCGGGUGCUUUGCCGUAAUUUCGGGUGAUUUCGGCUGAUUUUGGGAGACUUUGGGGUGAUUUGGAGCUGUUUGGAAUAAUUUAAAGUGAUUUUGGGGUGAUUUUGGCUGAUUUUGGGGUGGUUUAAGGUGAUUUGGGGGCGAUUUCUUUAAUUGUGGGUGAAUUUGGGCUGAAUUUGGCUGGUUUGGGGUCAUUUUGAGGUGAUUUCCGCCGAUUUUGGGGUGGCCCUGAUGAAGUGAUUUCAGUGGGACUUUUGGGCUGAUUUUGGGGUCAUCCCGAGGUGAUUUGGGGCUGAUUUUGGGUCAUUUUGGGGUGAUUUCUGCUGGUUUUGGGGUGAUCUUGGGGGACGUUGGGGAUCAGGUGAUUUCAGGGUGAUUUUGGGGUGAUUUUGAACAAUUUGGGGCGAUUCUGGGGUGAUUUUGGACAAUUUUGGGUCAUUUUGGGGCGGUUUUGGGCCAUUUUGAGGUGAUUUCUGCUGAUUUUGGGGUGGUCUGGGGGGUUUUGGGCACGAAGCGAUUUCUGGCUGAUUUUUGGGUGAUUUUGGGCUGAUUUGAUUUUUUCCCCCAGAACUGAGGAUGUCUAAACCCCUGGAGCUGGAGAAGGAGCUGCCGGGGGAGCGCCCGGGUAGGGACUUUUGGGGACUUUUGGGGACAUUUUGGGACAUUUUGGGACAUUUUGGGGACAUUUUUGGGGGCCCUCGAGGGGAUUUGGGGACCCCCCUGAGUGUCCCCUCCCCCCCCAGACACAGAAACCAAUGGACCCGACACGAACCACCAGGUGAGAUUUGGGGAUUUUGGGGGUUUUUUGGGGGGUUUGGGGGGUUUUUUUGGGGGGUUUCACCCCCCCCAAAUCUGGGGGUCCCCCCAAAUUUGGCUCCUCCCCCCCCAGGCCCAGCAGAACAAACCCCCCCCCUUCGGCCCCGCCCCCCCCGGCCCCGGCGCCAAGGUAAGAGAGAGACCCCAAAAAUCCUCCCCAAAAUCCUCCCAAAAUAUCCCAAAAUCCUCCCCAAAAUACCCUGAAAAUCCUCCCCAAAAUCCUCCCAAAAUAUCCCAAAAUCCUCCUCAAAAUCCUCCCCAAAAUACCCCAAAAAUCCUCCCCAAAAUACCCCAAAAAUCCUCCCCAAAAUACCCCAAAAAUCCUCCCCAAAAAUCCUCCCCAAAAUACCCCAAAAAUCCUCCCCAAAAUACCCCAAAAAUUCUCCCCAAAAUCCUCCCAAAAUCCUCCCAAAAUCCUCCUCAAAAUCCCCAAAACUCCUGCCCAAAUACCCCAAAAUCCUCCCCAAAAUCCCUUUAAAAUCCUUCCCCAAAUCCUCCUCAAAUUCCCCCAAAAAUCCUCCCCAAAUCCCCCAGAAAAUCAUUCCCCAAAUUCCCAAAUCCGCCCCAAAUUCUGCCCCAAUUUUUACCCCAAAUUCCCCAAAUUUUGCUGCAAAUUUGGCCCCAAAUCAGCCCCAAAUCUGCCCCAAAUCCCCCAACUUUUCCCCCAAAUCCCCCAAAUCUGCCCCAAAUCCCCCAAA
ensembl:lncRNA